rnacentral:rRNA from 1 species
AUGAAGCUCAAGGAAUCUGAAUUGGAUGACGUGAUUGUCAAUGAGGAAGAGAUCUCACAGCUAGAGAAGGAGAAGCGCUGGCUAGCAGUAGCCAAGGUCAACACGCGCAAGACCUUCAGUGCAGAUGUGUUCAAGGACACAAUGAAGUUUGCGUGGAGGUUGGCGUAUGAGCCAGAUAUCCGGGAAGAUGAUGACAAUUUGUUCGUGAUCCAAGUUUUUUGUGUUGCGGAUUGGAAUAGGGUUAUGCAUCAAGGGCCCUGGAUCUUUCGAAGCCUGAUGGUGGCGAUAGAGGAAUAUGAUGGCAAAGGUAAACCUGAAGCAGUAUCCCUGGACCGUGUGUAUGUGUGGGCUCAGAUUCAUGAUACGCCUGACCUUUACCGUAAGGAACCGAUCAUAGACCAACUGGCUAGGCGAAUCGGUCAGGUCAAGAGCGUGGAGAUGAACCCCAAUAGAAUUUUUGAGGGCAACUACGUUCGAGUCCGGGCAAAGGUUGUUAUCGCCGAACCUCUGAUCCGCUUCACUCCGUUGAACCUCGGGGGCAAAGAGCACCUGUUUCUUCCUGUAAAAUAUGAGAAAAUUGCAUACUUCUGUGAGGUAUGGGAAUCAUGGGUCAUAUCAUGGAGGAGUGUGGGAACGGCAUCCAUGGUGACGACGAGAUUGAGUAUGGUGAGUGGAUGA